rnacentral:rRNA from 1 species
ACUUAUCCGUAAACCUACACAUCCAACUACAAUGAGAUGUCCGCCAGGGUACUACGAGCACCAGCUUAAAACCCAAAGGACCUGACGGUGUCUCAGACCCACCUAGAGGAGCCUGUUCUAGAACCGAUAACCCCCGUUCAACCUCACCACCUCUAGCCACCCCAGCCUAUAUACCGCCGUCGUAAGCUUACCCUGUGAAGGUAAUAAAAGUAAGCAAAAUGGGUACAACCCAGAACGUCAGGUCGAGGUGUAGCGAAUGAAGUGGAAAGAAAUGGGCUACAUUUUCUGCCCACAGAAUAUCACGGAUAUGCACCAUGAAACAGUGCUUAAAGGAGGAUUUAGCAGUAAAAGGGAAUCAGAGCGUCCCUUUGAAUCCGGCUCUGAGACGCGUACACACCGCCCGUCACCCU